rnacentral:rRNA from 1 species
GACGAACGCUGGCGGCGUGCCUAAUACAUGCAAGUCGAGCGAAGUUUUUCUGUUGCUUUCGCCGGAAAAACUUAGCGGCGAACGGGUGAGUAACACGUAAAGAACCUGCCUUAUAGACUGGGACAACUCUUGGAAACGAUAGCUAAUACCGGAUAACAGCAUUAACUUCAUGGUUGAUGUUUGAAAGUUGUUUUUGCUAACACUAUGAGAUGGCUUUGCGGUGCAUUAGCUGGUUGGUGGGGUAAAGGCCUACCAAGGCGACGAUGCAUAGCCGACCUGAGAGGGUGAUCGGCGACACUGGGACGGAGACGAGGCCCAGACUCCUCCGGGAGGCAGCAGUAGGGAAUCUUACGCAAUGGGCGAAAGCCUGACGGAGCAACGACGCGUGAGUGAAGAAGGAUUUCGGUUCGUAAAGCUCUGUUGUUAGGGAAGAAUGAUUGUGUAGUAACUAUACACAGUAGAGACGGUACCUAACCAGAAAGCCACGGCUAACUACGUG